GCAAGUCGAGCGAAUCGAUGGGAGCUUGCUCCCUGAGAUUAGCGGCGGACGGGUGAGUAACACGUGGGCAACCUGCCUAUAAGACUGGGAUAACUUCGGGAAACCGGAGCUAAUACCGGAUACGUUCUUUUCUCGCAUGAGAGAAGAUGGAAAGACGGUUUCGGCUGUCACUUAUAGAUGGGCCCGCGGCGCAUUAGCUAGUUGGUGAGGUAAUGGCUCACCAAGGCGACGAUGCGUAGCCGACCUGAGAGGGUGAUCGGCCACACUGGGACUGAGACACGGCCCAGACUCCUACGGGAGGCAGCAGUAGGGAAUCUUCCGCAAUGGACGAAAGUCUGACGGAGCAACGCCGCGUGAACGAAGAAGGCCUUCGGGUCGUAAAGUUCUGUUGUUAGGGAAGAACAAGUACCAGAGUAACUGCUGGUACCUUGACGGUACCUAACCAGAAAGCCACGGCUAAC
rnacentral:rRNA from 1 species